rnacentral:other from 1 species
CAUUCGCAAGCCGGAACGAAAAGCACUUGGAAAGCUAAUGUUUUCAAAGCGCUUUUGGCGAGUGAUGUGAUGUGAUGUGAUGUGAUGUGAUGUUGUGUUGUGUUUGCAGAUUGGGCCGCGAAUGCGGGCCGCUUAACGUUUAAAUCCAUUUUAGGAUACAUUUUUCUGUCUGUCCAUAGACAAAAGUAGCACCGCGCCUGCGGUGCUUUUUUUG